GAGGGGGAGAAGCCGGUUCUGCCACCGCCACCGCGUCCAGCCGCCGUCGCGUGCUCCGCCGCCGCUCCUGGAGGUGGAUGGCCGAGCCUCUGCCAUCGGAGAAUGCCACUGUCGCCAUUGAGAUCCACUAUCGUCACCGUCGUCGGAGUUCUUGUCAUUACUGUCGCUUGGGAUGGCUGCUGGCGCUGCUGUAAAACCGGUUCAGAGACCGCUGCUAUUUUGUUUUCUUUAUUAUAAUGAGUAUCUUUCUUCGGGAACCUCGCAUUAGUGUUUGUUUCCGUGUAUUAAAGUCUUUGCGAUAUUCUAAUGGUUUUAAGAGUUAGUAACCAACGUUGCAUGUUGUGUUUUAAAGCUGUUUAUGCUAUUGUGAAAGUGUGUGGAACUGGAAUUGAAGUUGCUGUUGAUUUUGGGCUGAGGAAAAAGAGUUCGGUUGGCGCAUUUGGGUUAUAGUUUCGACUUAUCGAGGUUUUCCUUUUCAGGAUGUGGGCGAUGAAGUUCAGAAGAGUUUAUUUCGUUUCUGUGUAUGCGAUGUAUUGUGUUGUUUUAGUUAUUUUUUCCUCGCCCUUAUCUUUACAAUUUUUGUAAAAGGGAUAGAAAUUAUGAUAUGCAAGACUUGUAAAAUUAAUACUAUGUAUAUAUGUAUAUGAUUUGUAAGUUUUGUC